rnacentral:rRNA from 1 species
AGCGAACGUUAGCGGCGGGCCUAACACAUGCAAGUCGAACGAGAGUGAGGGGGCAACUCCUCUAGUAAAGUGGCGGACGGGUGCGUAACACGUGGGUAAUCUACCUUCCGGCGGGGGACGAACAGUCCGAAAGGAUUGCUAAUACCGCGUACGUCAGCGAGGUCUACGGAUCUUGUUGGGAAAGGAAUGGCCUCUCCUUGGAAGCUGUCACCGGAAGAUGAGCCCGCGGCCCAUCAGCUAGUUGGGAGGUAAUGGCUCACCAAGGCUUAGACGGGUAGCUGGUCUGAGAGGAUGAUCAGCCACACUGGGACUGCGACACGGCCCAGACUCCUACGGGAGGCAGCAGUGGGGAAUAUUGGGCAAUGGGCGGAAGCCUGACCCAGCCACGCCGCGUGAGUGAUGAAGGCCUUGGUC